UAUAAUGGGUCAGCGACUUAUAUUCAGUAGCAAGGUUAACCGUAUAGGGGAGCCGUAGAGAAAUCGAGUCUUAAUAGGGCGUUUAGUUGCUGGGUAUAGACCCGAAACCAGGCGAUCUAUCCAUGAGCAGGUUGAAGGUUGGGUAACACUAACUGGAGGACCGAACCCACUGUCGUUGAAAAGCCAGGGGAUGACUUGUGGAUAGGGGUGAAAGGCUAAUCAAGCCUGGUGAUAGCUGGUUCUCCCCGAAAGCUAUUUAGGUAGCGCCUCGGACGAAUACCAUAGGGGGUAGAGCACUGUUUCGGCUAGGGGGUCAUCCCGACUUACCAAACCGAUGCAAACUCCGAAUACCUAUGAGUACUAUCCGGGAGACAGACUGCGGGUGCUAACGUCCGUAGUCAAGAGGAAAACAAUCCAGACCGCCAGCUAAGGCCCCAAAAUCAUAGUUAAGUGGGAAACGAUGUGGGAAGGCAUAGACAGCUAGGAGGUUGGCUUAGAAGCAGCCACCCUUUAAAGAAAGCGUAAUAGCUCACUAGUCGAGUCGGCCUGCGCGGAAGAUGUAACGGGGCUAAAA
rnacentral:rRNA from 1 species